rnacentral:tRNA from 1 species
GGUCUUAAGGUGUUAAACACAUUUAAUUGCAAAUUAAAAGUUACUAGGCACAACCCUAGUUAAGACUU